rnacentral:ncRNA from 2 species
AUAAAUAUUAUUGAGACAGGUGCCCAUAGGGCUUAAUAGGGAAGUCCGGUGCAAUGCCGGCGCGGUCCCGCCACUGUAACGGGGAGCAAACCCAAACGAUGUCACUGGGAUGGAAUGUCCUGGGAAGGCUGGGGGAGCGAGGAACCGGAGUCAGGAGAACUGCCUGUCUGACAGUCACCGC